rnacentral:rRNA from 1 species
AGAGGGUGCGAGCGUUAAUCGGAAUUACUGGGCGUAAAGGGUGCGUAGGUGGAUAGAUAAGUUGGAUGUGAAAGGGCCUGGGGCUCAACCUAGGCAUGUCAUCCGAUACUGUUUGACUAGAGUUUGAUAGAGGGUAGGGGAAUUUCCGGAGUAGCGGUGAAAUGCGUAGAUAUCGGAAGGAACACCAGUGGCGAAGGCGCCUACCUGGAUUGAAACUGACACUGAGGCACGAAAGCGUGGGUAGCGAACAGGAUUAGAUACCCUGGUAGUCCACGCUGUAAACGAUGAAAACUAGCCGUACGGUGACAUAAGAGCACUGUGUGGCGCAGCAAACGCGAUAAGUUUUCCGCCUGGGGAGUACGGCCGCAAGGCUA